rnacentral:lncRNA from 1 species
GGCGCCGUUUGAUCCUUACUAUUAAAACUAAAAUUUUCCUUCAAAUCACUUUACUUCACUUUAAAAAAAAACAAAACAAAACAGAGGGAGAGGGGUUUUCUCUGCUAGGGUUUUCCCCUAACCCAAGCACCCUCAUGCCGCCGCCGUCGUGUCCGCCGUGGUGCCUCCGCGAACGGCUCUCGGAUCCAGGUAAGUUAGCUCCUUUCUUUUCUUAUUUCUUUAAAGAAAAUGAAACGAACAUGUAAACAAUCAGAAAAAAAUGAAGAUAGAGAAAAAAACAAAUAACCUUUCAAAAUCUAUUUGAUUCUCUGCUUUUGUAUUUUCAAUUGUCUUUUUUUGAUACAAUUUUUGUAACCCCUUUUACCAUCCCCCCCCCCCAUUUAAAAUCCCUUUACAAUCAGUUUAUAUAACCGAAAUAAAGAAAAAUAAAAUACAAAGGAAAAUCAUUAUUUCUGUUAUUGUUGCCUCUACUCUGGUGUUGGUUCCGUUUUUCUCGCAGGUACGGGAGUCGUGGAAGAGGCGCACGUGCUCGGAGGGUCGUGCUGUGACAUUCGCGGCGGCGUGUAAGGGUGAAAUUGCUGCGGCGGCUACUAGGGUUUUUGAUUUUUGAUUUGGCUGAAAAUUUGUUAAGCUUUGGGCUUGCUGGGCUGUUGGUAUUUUGGGCUUGUGUUUUUUUGUUUGGGAAAUGUAUUUUGGGUCAAUUCAUUGGGCCUGCUGUUGUAAUAAUGGUUGGGCAUUUAUUUUUUAUUUGCAUUUGGAUUUAUUAUUGGUAGGGCCGGGCAAAAAUUGGGCCCUACAACCAAAAUAAGAAUAUGGGUGAUUAAAUAGGUAGACCAAGCAUGGGUGCAGAAUUGGCUAGGCUAGAUAUCUGCCACUGCUAUAAUCAACCCAACGAUGUUUACUGCCAUCACAUUGCUAAGGCCAGACACUAUGUGCCGCCCAAAUCUAAAUUUUUUAUAUGGAUUUGAAUUUAAUAAAUUCAAUUAUAUAAAGAAUUAAGAUUUAAAAUUUAUUUUCAAAAGACGAUUUUUUUUUAAGAAAGAUUGUGUAAAAUUAUGAUUUCACGUUAUUCUUGUCUCUUUUUAAUAGGAGAAUGACAAAUUUGUUAUAAAAUAACGAGAGAUUGAGAGAAUAAAGAAUAAAGAAAAUAUGAAAGCAAUAGAAAAUGUAUUUUUUUGAUAAAAAAAUGAUUACAAUGUUUCAUCGGAGUCUCUAUUUAUAGACAUAAGAAGUAUAAAAGAAUAGAGAUCUAAUUCUA